GACCUGUCUGCGUGUUGUAGGUAGACACUACAAAUUGGGAUUAGAUUUCUGCCACAAUUACAAGUUCAUACGAGGACAUUUUGAGCACAAAAGUGUGUUUUCAGUACACGUCUGCGGAUGCGAACAAACAGCCGCUGAACCAAUGACCAAGUGCACGCAUGCAGGCAGUUUGUGCACGUGGAGUUCGUAUGCUGUACAAAAAGUACAUCUUGUUUCAGUAAAUAACCUCAAUGCAAAUUUUGCAGUCAGAUUCUGUUGUGAAAGCUAGCACAAUUAAACACCUUCAGCAUCAGACCGCUAAGUUUAAAGUAUACCCAUGACGGUUGGUCGACAGUGAUGCUUAUUUGCUGCAGUCAGAUCUAAGAUGUAUUUAUUUAUUUAUUUAUUUGCAUAAUUUCUCCAAAGCAUUUCAAUGGUCACCAAAUACACACAGAUUUUUGCUAUUCGCAGCACUUGUUUUGUCUGUAUUUAAAAUGGCAUCGUCAUAGAUGUCAUUUUAGUUCAUAAGUGUGUUCAUAAGUGUGUGGUCCUCCGUGGCUCCCCAAUCAUGCUGAUGAAAAAUUGCGGCCCCCCUCCAUCAUUUCAGUCACCCAUCCCUGUAUUAUAUUGUGACAAGCAUGCGUUUCCCUUCCGUCAUGCAAACGUGUUCCUUCGACUUACAGGAUGACAGCUUCCUGUGGACUGAUGGCUCGGAGGUUGAUUUCACUGCCUUCAACAAUGACAUCGAUCCUGGAAAUUGCAUUGAGGUUGAAUUCGAUGAUGGUCUUUGGGACAAUGACAGCUGCACUGAUAUGAACAGAUUUGUUUGUGCCAGCGAGGCUGACCAAUGCAAGCACUGAACUACCCUCCAACUCUUAUAGAAACUACAAGCAUACAAUACAUUCACUAGUACUGGGAUUACUCUUCUAAGAAAAAAGUUCAUUGGUGUCUGUAAUCUUUGGUUUAUUGCAAUUCAUUACAACAGAUCAGUAUAUUCAGCUUUAUUGAUUCAGUCAAAGAAGUUUGACAAAAAAGUAAAACAAAUUGAUCUUGCAAUAAAACAUUCUGGUAUUCCAUUCAUUC